rnacentral:rRNA from 1 species
GACGAACGCUGGCGGCGUGCCUAAUACAUGCAAGUAGAACGCACAGUUUAUACCGUAGCUUGCUACACCAUAGACUGUGAGUUGCGAACGGGUGAGUAACGCGUAGGUAACCUGCCUGGUAGCGGGGGAUAACUAUUGGAAACGAUAGCUAAUACCGCAUAAUAUUUAUUAUUGCAUGAUAAUUGAUUGAAAGAUGCUAUUGCAUCACUACCAGAUGGACCUGCGUUGUAUUAGCUAGUAGGUGAGGUAACGGCUCACCUAGGCGACGAUACAUAGCCGACCUGAGAGGGUGAUCGGCCACACUGGGACUGAGACACGGCCCAGACUCCUACGGGAGGCAGCAGUAGGGAAGCUUCGGCAAUGGACGAAAGUCUGACCGAGCAACGCCGCGUGAGUGAAGAAGGUUUUCGGAUCGUAAAGCUCUGUUGUAAGAGAAGAACGGGUGUGAGAGUGGAAAGUUCACACUGUGACGGUAUCUUACCAGAAAGGGACGGCUAACUACGUG